CGCCGGGUAACCUGUAGCGCAGUGGUCAGCGCAGUCGGCUCACAACCGAUUGGUCCCGGGUUCGAAUCCCGGGCAGGGCGA